CACGAACCGUACGAACGUUAUUCGGAAUUACUGGGCUUAAAGGGUUUGUAGGCGGCCAUGUAAGUCAGGUGUGAAAUCCCUCGGCUCAACCGAGGAACGGCGCUUGAUACUGCAUGGCUUGAGGGAGACAGGGGUAAGCGGAACUGAUGGUGGAGCGGUGAAAUGCGUUGAUAUCAUCAGGAACACCGGUGGCGAAGGCAGGUCUCUGGGCCAUAACUGACGCUGAGAAGCGAAAGCAUGGGGAGCGAACAGG
rnacentral:rRNA from 1 species